GGAAAACACAGGUUCAGAAAUGAAAGACAGAGGUUGAACUUACCUAGGCAGAAUCGAAAAUUUCGAAAGAGAUUAGAAUUUGAGGCUCGAGUUGGAUGAGUUGAAUCAGCGGAAAUGGGCGCGAGUCGGAAACUCCAGGGCGAGAUUGAUCGUGUUCUGAAGAAGGUUCAGGAAGGCAUCGAAGUCUUCGAUAGCAUCUGGAACAAGGUUCUUCUCUUAUUCAUCUUCUUCAAUUUCGAGUUUAUUCUGUUUCCGAAUGACACGUGGCGGUUGGUGAGUUAGGUCUACGACACGGAGAAUGCGAACCAGAAGGAGAAGUUCGAGGCUGACCUGAAGAAGGAGAUUAAGAAGCUGCAGAGGUACAGGGACCAGAUUAAGACAUGGAUUCAGUCCAGCGAAAUCAAAG
rnacentral:lncRNA from 1 species